rnacentral:rRNA from 1 species
GACGAACGCUGGCGGCGUGCUUAACACAUGCAAGUCGAACGGAAAGGCCCUGCUUUUGUGGGGUGCUCGAGUGGCGAACGGGUGAGUAACACGUGAGUAACCUGCCCUUGACUUUGGGAUAACUUCAGGAAACUGGGGCUAAUACCGGAUAGGAGCUCCUGCUGCAUGGUGGGGGUUGGAAAGUUUCGGCGGUUGGGGAUGGACUCGCGGCUUAUCAGCUUGUUGGUGGGGUAGUGGCUUACCAAGGCUUUGACGGGUAGCCGGCCUGGGAGGGUGACCGGCCACAAUGGGACUGAGAUACGGCCCAGACUCCUACAGGAGGCAACAGUGGGGAAUAUUGCACAAUGGGAGGAAGCGUGAUGCAGCAACGCCGCGUGCGGGAUGACGGCCUUCGGGUUGUAAACCGCUUUCGCCUGUGACGAAGCGUGAGUGACGGUAAUGGGUAAAGAAGCACCGGCUAACUACGUG